GUGACCCCAGGAUGGGCGAGGCCACCCGCCGAGUUUAAGCAUAUCAAUAAGCGGAGGAGAAGAAACUUACGAGGAUUCCCCUAGUAACGGCGAGCGAACCGGGAUAGGCCCAGCAUUGGAAUCGGGCUGCCAUGUAGCAGCUUGAAUUGUAGUCUGGAGAAGCGUCCUCAGCGACGGACCGGGCCCAAGUACCC
rnacentral:rRNA from 1 species